rnacentral:tRNA from 1 species
GGCCGGAUGGUGGAAUUGGUAUACACAGCAGACUUAAAAUCUGUCGCUUUAAAGCUUGCGGGUUCGAGUCCCGCUCCGGCUACCA